rnacentral:rRNA from 1 species
UGAGUAACACGUGGGCAAUCUGCCCUGCACUUCGGGAUAAGCCUGGGAAACUGGGUCUAAUACCGGAUAGGACCUUUAGACGCAUGUCUUUUGGUGGAAAGCUUUUGCGGUGUGGGAUGGGCCCGCGGCCUAUCAGCUUGUUGGUGGGGUGAUGGCCUACCAAGGCGACGACGGGUAGCCGGCCUGAGAGGGUGUCCGGCCACACUGGGACUGAGAUACGGCCCAGACUCCUACGGGAGGCAGCAGUGGGGAAUAUUGCACAAUGGGCGCAAGCCUGAUGCAGCGACGCCGCGUGGGGGAUGACGGCCUUCGGGUUGUAAACCUCUUUCACCAUCGACGAAGGUUCGGGUUUUCUCGGAUUGACGGUAGGUGGAGAAGAAGCACCGGCCAACUACGUGCCAGCAGCCGCGGUAAUACGUAGGGUGCGAGCGUUGUCCGGAAUUACUGGGCGUAAAGAGCUCGUAGGUGGUUUGUCGCGUUGUUCGUGAAAUCUCACGGCUUAACUGUGAGCGUGCGGGCGAUACGGGCAGACUAGAGUACUGCAGGGGAGACUGGAAUUCCUGGUGUAGCGGUGGAAUGCGCAGAUAUCAGGAGGAACACCGGUGGCGAAGGCGGGUCUCUGGGCAGUAACUGACGCUGAGGAGCGAAAGCGUGGGGAGCGAACAGGAUUAGAUACCCUGGUAGUCCACGCCGUAAACGGUGGGUACUAGGGUGUGGGUUUCCUUCCUUGGGAUCCGUGCCGUAGCUAACGCAUUAAGUACCCCGCCUGGGGGAGUACGGGCCGCAAGGCUAAAACUCAAANGAAUUUGACGGGGGGCCCGCACAA